GACGAACGCUGGCGGCGUGCUUAACACAUGCAAGUCGAACGGAAAGGCCCUGCUUUUGUGGGGCGCUCGAGUGGCGAACGGGUGAGUAACACGUGAGUAACCUGCCCUUGACUUUGGGAUAACUUCAGGAAACUGGGGCUAAUACCGGAUAGGAGCUCCUGCUGCAUGGUGGGGGUUGGAAAGUUUCGGCGGUUGGGGAUGGACUCGCGGCUUAUCAGCUUGUUGGUGGGGUAGUGGCUUACCAAGGCUUUGACGGGUAGCCGGCCUGAGAGGGUGACCGGCCACAUUGGGACUGAGAUACGGCCCAGACUCCUACGGGAGGCAGCAGUGGGGAGUAUUGCACAAUGGGCGGAAGCCUGAUGCGGCAACGCCGCGUGCGGGAUGACGGCCUUCGGGUUGUAAACCGCUUUCGCCUGUGACGAAGCGUGAGUGACGGUAAUGGGUAAAGAAGCACCGGCUAACUACGUG
rnacentral:rRNA from 1 species